UUACAUAGCAGAUUUUAAAUCUUAUAUCCAUUAUUUUAAGAGUAAUUGGUGUUUAUGCACCUAAAAGUGAUUAUAUUUUAAAAACUAACCUCAUCCCAUUAUCAUUUUUUUCAUACCUAUUUUACACCUGUAUCACCAUCAGAUCAACAUCCUCUCACCUCAGCCUCCCUUCCUGUGUCAGAUGCAGUCACAUGCUGUGUCAGAUCCAUCUCUCCCGUUUUCUCUUUCCUCUCCCCAUGAAAUCCUUUAAGAAAUCAUUUUAAAAUAGUUAUAAAAAUAACUAAAGCAAUAAAAACUAAAUUGGAACAGAAAAUAGCCAUUGAUAAAACUGAUCGAGAACAUAUAUACUGUUUGAAAAAUGAUAGAUAUUAUAUAUGUUUGAUUUUCAUAAAAAUACAUCCUUUAACUUGAAAGUCAGAUUUUUUAGUUUCGAAUCUUUGAAACCGUUAUGCCUCUUCAGUAAUGGCGGAUUUUCAGAAAUCAACUCAACGGGUCAAGUGGGUUUUCACUCCUCAGAAACUGAGAAAAAACUUGGACGGAGCCUACAUAAAAGAUGUGGUGGCGGAGUCUGACCCAACGGCGGAGCCGACUUAAACCGCAAAGAAGGUUCUACAUGUAUAUCUUUAGAGGUGAUAAAACAACUUCUUCUUCUGAUUUUUCGGCGAUUUACGUUACCCCGUUAAAUCACAUAUAUAAAAGUAAACAUAUGUAUUUAUAUGAUACUAAUAGUGUUAACAUGCUAAAUUCUUUU